rnacentral:rRNA from 1 species
AUGACCUUGGCCCAAGAUGAACAUGAAUUGAAACUUCCAUAUAAUCUCCUAUGUUCUCUCAAGGUGCUAUGCGUUCAGCAAAGCUUGGAUCUGAAGUUCUCUGGGGGUAAUAGAGAUUCUACAAGAUUCACCUCUCUUAGGGAGCUAGUCCUUUGUGGUUGCCCCGAGCUGGUCUCAUCGUUGGUGGGUGAAACGAAAGAUGAUGGUACCGUGGAAGUUGGAUUACUCCCUCCAUCACUUGAAGACCUUACUAUCACUCCUCUCCCAAGAAACUUCCAGUCCUUCACUCCUCAAGGCCUUCUCCACCUCAAAAAGCUAAGUCUAUCAGAUAGCCCAUGUUUGAAGUCUGUACAGCUGCAUUCUUGUACGGCUCUACAAGAGCUCCAAAUCUGGCGCUGUGGUAAGCUGGCUGUACUGGAGGGCUUGCAGUUCCUGACCUCCAUUCGAAGCUGGAUAUCUGGUUGA